ACUGUUCACUGCUGCCUGUGGGUUACAGAACGCUGCUGCAUGCAGCUGAGAGUUGUAGCAGUCCUCAGGGAAACGAACUCCUCCUGAUGCUGUGUUGUGACAGACGUUUAUGCCUUGUAUCCCCCAUCCCAUUCUGUGUUCCUGGGAGGUGAAAAUAGAGACUGGGUCUGCAUUAGAGUAGCUGUGCUACUUACUUGUCACGGUGGGAUGGAAAUAGGCUGUCCAUGGUCCCCUGCCUUUCCCACCCCCAGCUGCAAGGAUACUGGGUGCACUGCAUCAGCAUUUGAAGCCUGACCUUGUUAGAGAAAGAAAAUAUAUCUUAAUAAAUUAAGUGCAGAAGAGGGGAAGAAAGAAAGGAGAAGAUUGGUUUAGAUACCUAAAUAGAUUUCCUCUGUGCUGGAUUACAGAGGUCAAAGUAAUUUCUAGCUUGAUCUUAAUAUUGAAUGCUGCCAGGCAAUAGCAGUAAGUCAGUACAGAAGGCAGAGCCCCCAGCUUGCACAGGUGGGCUUGCAACAGCUGAUCCCAGAGAUGCAUCAAGUGUCCUUUCUGUUGCCCCAAAGGGCAACAUGAUGCCUCUGGGUUAGUGGUGAAACAGGGUGGCCCUGGGGAAAGCCCCUCACUAGUGGCACAUCUUCACCCAAGCGAUGGAAGUGAUGGAAGGACAGCAGCACCACUUCUAGGGACCUCCUAAGUGCCAGCUCCUCCCUGACUUGGAAAUGGUAAAAGGGGAUGCCUUAAAUCACUUGUUUUGGGUCUUGUAGUGAAAGUUGUCUUAUUUUACUCAUUUUCCUGGUUGCAAGGAGUCAGCUUAUUCCCCCUGUGGGCUGAUGAAGUGAGUGGCCUCCAAGGUGAGGGACCACAUGAUGGGAGAAUUUGCUGGAGAAAUCUGGAGAGGUACAGAUUAAGGACAAGAUGGAUGCAAAAAAAAACUUGAAGGAAAAUGGGACUUGUCUAGUGCAUGGGAGCCUCCUCUCACCCAAUGUGUGAUACCACUGGCUGCUCACCACCCUGUGCAUAUAGUGUGCGACACAGCGGUGGUAGAUCCAGCUGGUUUGAAAAGCCUGGUUUGUGUGAUUGGUGACAGACCUGAGCCUUUGCUUAGGCACUUCUGAGGUUUCCUACAGAUUUUCUGCAGCUCAAAAUAUCCCUGCAGGACACCCUUCCAAAGGACCUCCCCUCCAAAUAUAUACUGUAGCAUGCUUGAUAUUGACUCUGCUUAUGAACACACCACCAAUAUUUUUAGCUGUAUUUUUGUUUCUCCAGCACAAUUUCCCAUUUGGGUACUGAAGUCAGGCUAAUGUUGAGUGCUUUAGAGAAUCUCACCAUAUCAACUUUGGGUCUUUCUACAAUAAUGUAUGUGACAAAUUCAAUUGUUAAAAGCCCUGGGCUAUAUUUCCAACUAGCACUGUGCUUGCUUUUUUUAGGUUUAAUUAUUUCUGUGGCACUAAUGUUCUCUAAAAGUAGUACCAUUGUACCGUGAUGGUCUAAAGCGAUUAAGGGAGGGAGUUUUUUACGAAACUAGCCAGUUUAAAUGGUAAAAACAGAUGAGUUUUUAGGCACAAAAAGUAUCAAUUUGACCUUACAUUUAAAAGCCCCUUCACAUACCAUGUUUUCCUCAGACUCUCAUUACUUUUACUGAGAGCAAUGUUAGAUCAAUAACAUUCACUUUUCCGGGAAUGCUCUUCUAAUACACAGAAUCUGAAUAUCUUCAAGCAAUGACAACUUACAGCUGAGGAAACUCAGGCCCAGAAGGGGCAGGUGGUGGGCCUGUGGGGGCUGAGUCAGUCAGGCAUCUCCGCAGCAUUUGUGCUGGGUUUUAGCUAUGAACAACUGCUGUCUCCUCCCUCUUCUCUAACAAACUUCUGACUUUUGUUGUCAGCUGGAAUCUUCUGUGCACGUCACAGACUUCCUGUAAGUUCGUGUGAUGUGUCCUGCUUGGAUCCAGCCAAGGAGCCGUGAGUCGUUGCUAGGCCCAAAGGUACCAGGUAUGUUUGCGAUCCACUUGUAGGGGGCUGUGUUCUCCCCUGAGGAGCAAGCUGCGGGAAAGUGUCAUAUUUAAUGUAACAAAAGGAGCUUUUUAAGAAGUUCCAGCUGAAUGGGAAGCCAAACCCUACUUAGUUUUCUAUUCUAAUGGCAACUGUGGGCAAAGAUGUUUUUGUUCCUGUGAAUUUUUAUGUGAUUGCUUGUUUCUGUGCUGCUGGUAGGAGACAGGCAGGGUCUAAGCUAUCUGCUCCUGCUGCUGAUGUUCCUCAGGAAAUCUCUCAGAAGUGAUUGUGCCAGCUGGCAGGAAUAAGCCUUCAGGUGCCAUCACUCCAAUCACUGUCCUUUAAACUGACGGGUAAUGCCCUGGUAAAGAUAGAAACGCUGUUCUGAAAUGAAGCUGAAGUCCAUACAGAUGUAUCUGGAUGGACACGUUCCUUUGGCAUUACAGCAGCUGCGUCUGGACCACGUCGGGAGCCUUCUGACACGGGCAUUAGCUCAUGCUGUCCCAGGGCGAACUUGGUCCCUAAUAUUUUGGGUUAUAGCAGACACUGCACAUAAUGUUAUCACAAAGGGAGGCAGAGAUGCGGAGUGAGACCUACCAGCCAGAUAACAAAAGGCCUGAUGAAGAACAAAAAAAAGCUGCUAGUCAUUGUGGAGAUAUGUUGCCCCCAGGAAAUUAAAGCCCCGGCUCCCCUGGCACAUGCAAUAAACAUCUCCUUUGUGCUUGCCUACCAGCACCGAAACCUCUGGAACAUUACGAAAUGCCAGAGAUGCUUCUCAGUGCCCCCCCCUCGGA